GACGAACGCUGGCGGCGUGCCUAAUACAUGCAAGUAGAACGCACAGUUUAUACCGUAGCUUGCUACACCAUAGACGGUGAGUUGCGAACGGGUGAGUAACGCGUAGGUAACCUGCCUGGUAGCGGGGGAUAACUAUUGGAAACGAUAGCUAAUACCGCAUAAUAUUAAUUAUUGCAUGAUAAUUAAUUGAAAGGUGCAAUUGCACCACUACCAGAUGGACCUGCGUUGUAUUAGCUAGUAGGUGAGGUAACGGCUCACCUAGGCGACGAUACAUAGCCGACCUGAGAGGGUGCUCGGCCACACUGGGACUGAGACACGGCCCAGACUCCUACGGGAGGCAGCAGUAGGGAAUCUUCGGCAAUGGACGAAAGUCUGACCGAGCAACGCCGCGUGAGUGAAGAAGGUUUUCGGAUCGUAAAGCUCUGUUGUAAGAGAAGAACGGGUGUGAGAGUGGAAAGUUCACACUGUGACGGUAUCUUACCAGAAAGGGACGGCUAACUACGUG
rnacentral:rRNA from 1 species